rnacentral:tRNA from 1 species
CGGUAGCUCAGUUGGAUAGAGCAGCGGACUUCUAAUCCGCAGGUCGGAAGUUCGAAUCUUCCC